rnacentral:rRNA from 1 species
UAGGGAAUUUUGCGCAAUGGGGGAAACCCUGACGCAGCAACGCCGCGUGAUUGACGAAGCCCUUCGGGGUGUAAAGAUCUGUCAGUGGGGACGAAUUUUGACGGUACCCACAAAGGAAGCACCGGCUAACUCCGUGCCAGCAGCCGCGGUAAUACGGAGGGUGCAAGCGUUGUCCGGAAUCAUUGGGCGUAAAGCGUUCGUAGGCGGCAUACCAAGUCUGGGGUUAAAUCCCGGGGCUCAACUCCGGUCCGGCACUGGAUACUGGUAAGCUAGAAUGUGGUAGAGGUAAAGGGAAUUCCUGGUGUAGCGGUGAACUGCGUAGAUAUCAGGAGGAACACCGGUGGCGUAAGCGCUUUACUGGGCCAUAAUUGACGCUGAGGAACGAAAGCCGGGGGAGCAAAUG